UACAGAGGGGGCAAGCGUUAUUCGGAAUUAUUGGGCGUAAAGGGCGCGUAGGUGGCGCUGCAAGUCGGUUGUGAAAUCUCCGAGCUUAACUCGGAAAGGUCAACUGAUACUGUGCGGCUAGAGUGCAGAAGGGGCAACUGGAAUUCUUGGUGUAGCGGUGAAAUGCGUAGAUAUCAAGAGGAACACCUGCGGCGAAGGCGGGUUGCUGGGCUGACACUGACGCUGAGGCGCGAAAGCUAGGGGAGCGAACGGG
rnacentral:rRNA from 1 species